rnacentral:rRNA from 1 species
UACGGAGGUUGCAAGCGUUGUUCGGAAUAACUGGGCGUAAAGGGAGCGCAGGCGGUCCGGUAAGUCUAAAGUGGAAGCCCGGGGCUUAACCUCGGAAGUGCUUUAGAUACUGCCGGACUCGAGUUCGUGAGAGGAGAGCGGAAUUCCAGGUGUAGCGGUGAAAUGCGUAGAUAUCUGGAGGAACACCGGUGGCGAAAGCGGCUCUCUAGCACGAUACUGACGCUGAGGCUCGAAAGCAUGGGUAGCGAACAGGAUUAGAAACCCCCGUAGUCC